AUACGGAGGGUCCAAGCGUUAUCCGGAUUCAUUGGGUUUAAAGGGUCCGCAGGCGGGAAAAUAAGUCAGUGGUGAAAGCCUACAGCUCAACUGUAGAACUGCCAUUGAAACUGUUUUUCUUGAGUAUAGAUGAAGUGGGCGGAAUAUAUCAUGUAGCGGUGAAAUGCAUAGAUAUGAUAUAGAACACCGAUUGCGAAGGCAGCUCACUAAACUAUUACUGACGCUCAGGGACGAAAGCGUGGGGAGCGAACAGGAUUAGAUACCCCGGUAGUCC
rnacentral:rRNA from 1 species